GCCGCCAUAGCUCAGCGGCAAGAGCAACCGGUUGUCAGCCGGAAGGUCACGGGUUCGAGUCCCGUUGGUGGCG
rnacentral:tRNA from 1 species